rnacentral:rRNA from 1 species
UACGGGAGUGGCAAGCGUUAUCCGGAAUUAUUGGGCGUAAAGCGUCCGCAGGCGGCCCUGUAAGUCUGUCGUUAAAGCGUGGAGCUUAACUCCAUUUGAGCGAUGGAAACUACAGGGCUUGAGUGUGGUAGGGGCAGAGGGAAUUCCCGGUGUAGCGGUGAAAUGCGUAGAUAUCGGGAAGAACACCAGUGGCGAAGGCGCUCUGCUGGGCCAUAACUGACGCUCAUGGACGAAAGCCAGGGGAGCGAAAGGG